rnacentral:tRNA from 1 species
AUAGACCCCAGUCAUCUAAUAAUAAUAAAACGAGGAUGGGAUGCUACAUUGGGAAUGGUCGG